GUGUUGUAUGAAAGGAGAGAAGGUUAGCACUCCCUUGGCAAGGAUGGAGGAGGCCUGGGGUCCUGACAACAUGCAUAGGGUUAAGACAUUGCCACCCACUUUGUGGCAUCUAACCAUAGCGGUUU